rnacentral:rRNA from 1 species
UAUAAGGGUAUAUGGUGGAUGCCUUGGCAUGGAAAGGCGAUGAAGGACGCGGUAUGACUGCGAUAAGCUUCGGGGAGACGUCAAACAGUCUUUGAUCCGAAGAUUUCCGAAUGGGGAAACCCCUCAAGGCUCAAAACCUUGAGAGCUCCUUGUUUAACUACUUGGAGUAGCGAACCCGCUGAAGUGAAACCUCUCAGUAAGCGGAGGAAAAGAGAAAAUAAUUUAUUCCCUUAGUAGCGGCGAGCGAAGAGGGAAAAGCCCAAACCUGCGGACAUCACAUUGCAUGUGAUGUCGCGAGUUAAAAGUCCAAAGUUAAAAGUUUAAUUGUGAAGUUAGCUGAACUUCUCUGGAAAGAGAGGCCAUAGCGAGUGAUAGCCUCGUAAGCGAAAAUUUCACAGCUCGAGCAUUUGUUCCUAAGUACUGCGGGGAAUGAAAGCCCUGUAGGAAGCUUCCAAUACUACUUGGAAAGGCUAAAUACUAAUCCAUGACCGAUAGUGAACUAGUACCGUGAGGGAAAGGUGAAAAGCAGCCCGGCGAGGGCGAUGAAAUAAACCUGAAACCAUAUACUUACAAGGAAUCGGAGCCUGUGUGGGUGACGGUGUGCCUCUUGGAGAAUGAGCCAACGACUUUAUGUAUGUCGCUUGUCUAAUCCGCCUUGGCGGAGUAGGCGCAGGGAAACCGAGUCUGAAUAGGGCGAUAGAAAUUUAGUCAGCGAGAUUUAUUUGGAAAUUAGGAUUUGGAAAUUGGGAAUUCCGCGCUGUGCGCGGUAGGCGGCAUGUAUAAGACCCGAAGCCGGAGCGAGCUACCUAUGACCAGGAUGAAUUUCACCGAAAGGUGAAAGGAGGUCCGAACCCGUUAGUCGUGCAAUGCUAUGGGAUGAGUUGUGGGUAGAAGUGAAAAGCUAAUCGAGCCCGGUGAUAGCUGGUUCUCCCCGAAAUAGUUUUCGGACUAGCCUCGUUUUUAUAGAUGAUUGGGGGUAGAGCACUGGAUGGUUUUGCCUGGCGCAAGCUAGCAACACCAAUCAAACUCCGAAUACCGAUCAUUGUUGAACGGGAGUCAGACUGUGGGGGCUAAGCUUCAUAGUCAAAAGGAGAAGAGUCCUAAUCGCCAUUUAAGGUCCCAAAAUGCAAGCUAAGUGUACAAGGUUGUGAGAUUUCUCAAACAGCAAGGAGGUUGGCUUAGAAGCAGCCAUCCUUUAAAGAGUGCGUAACAGCUCACUUGUCGAGAGAUCUUGCGCCGGAAAUGUUCGGGGCUAAGCUUGCUACCGAAAAUGCGAAUGUGCGGACAUCACAUUGCAUGUGAUGUCGCGAGUUAAAAGUCCAAAGUUAAAAGUUUAAAGUGAAUUCAGAAAUGCAUUUACUUUUUACAUUUAACUUUUGGGAGCGUUUGUAUCUGCAGUGAAGGUCGACCCGCGAGGGCGGCUGGAGCGAUACGAAGUGAGAAUGUUGGCAUAAGUAACCGCAAGACAGGUUAAAUUCCUGUCCGCCGUAAACCUAAGGUUUCCUUGGCAAUGACAAUCAGCCAAGGGUUAGGCAACCCUAAGGCAAUCCCGAGAGGGGCAGCCGAUGGAUAGCCGGUUAAUAUUCCGGCCCUUUGUUAAUAUUUGAUGGGAGGUCGUAACACAGUAAGCUGAGCAUCUUAUUGGAUUGAUGUUCCUGGCUUAAGGAUGCUUUCUUGGCAAAUCCGGAAAGCUUUCGCAGCAAUGCGAAAAAUCUAAGAGCAGGGAAAAUUUUGGAGCAAUCUGAAAAAUUCAGCCGAGCGCGUUACCAAGAAAUUCUCUCUAAAAUUAGUAUUAACGAAUCUGUACCGUAAACCGACACAGGUAGGUGAGGCGAGUAGCCUCAGGCGAAUGGGUGAGUGAUCCUCAAGGAACUAGGCAAAAAAGCUACCCGUAAGUUUGCAAGAUGGGUUCCCUAUUGCGGCGAUAGGGCGCAGCUAAAGAUAUCUGGGGACUGUUUAUCAAAAACACAACUCCCUGCUAACUCGCAAGAGGAUGUAUAGGGGGUGACGCUUGUCCAGUGCUGGAACGUUAACGGUCAAUGUCUUAGAAAUUCGUUUUUAAGGCUGCGGCCCGAAGCGCCAGUGAACGACCGCGGUAACUAUAACCGUGUUAAAGUAGCGAAAUUCCUUGUCGGGUAAGUUCCGACGCGCAUGAAAAGCGUAACUACCGGAUAACUGUCUCGAGGAUCAGCCCGGUGAAAUUGCAAGGCAGGUGAAGAUGCCUGCUUCCUGCACUUAGACGAAAAGACCCCGGAAGCUUCACUGCAACUUGUUAUUGUGUUUAGAUUUUUGCUGCGUAGUGUAGUGGGUAGACUUUGAAGUUGUGUUUUCGGACAUAAUGGAGUCAACAAUGAAACACCCAUCUUCAAAAAUUUAAAUUCUAACCUUUACGGAAAAAACGUAUUGGGACAGUGGCUGGUGGGCAGUUUUGGUGGGGCGCUAGCCUCCCAAAAGGUAACGGAGGCGUUCAUUAAGGUCAGCUAGGCACGGAUGGAAAUCGUGCUGGUAGUGUAAAGGCACAAGCUGGCUUAACUGCAAGACCUACAAGUCGCGCAGAUGCGAAAGCAGGACUUAGUGAACCGAUCAUUCUUUGUAGAACGGUGAGAGAUCAUCGGAUAAAAGCUACUCCGGGGAUAACAGGCUGGUUUGGUCCAAGAGUUCUUAUCGACGACCAAGUUCGGCACCUGAUGUCGGCUCUUCGCAUCCUGGGGGUGGAGAAGCUCCCAAGGGUUGGGCUGUUCGCCCAUUAAAGCGGAACGUGAGCUGGGUUCAGACCGUCGCGAGACAGGUUGGUCUCCUAUCUAGUGCAGGCGUUGAGACUUGAGGGAAGUCGUUCCUAGUCGAGAGGACCGGAACGAACAAAUCUCUGGUGUAUCAGUUGUCACGCCAGUGGCAUUGCUGAGUAGCUAUUGUUUGGAAGGGAUAAGCGCUGAAAGCAUCUAAGCACGAAGCCCAUCCCAAGAUUAGGUCUCGUUUUAGAUCCGUGGGAGAUUACCACGUUGAUAGGCUGCAGGUGUAAGCGCAGUAAUGCGUUCAGCCGAGCAGUACUAAUAGAUC